UACGUAGGGGGCUAGCGUUGUUCGGAAUCACUGGGCGUAAAGCGCACGUAGGCGGACUUGUAAGUCAGGGGUGAAAUCCCGGGGCUCAACCUCGGAACUGCCUUUGAUACUGCGAGUCUCGAGUCCGGAAGAGGUGAGUGGAAUUCCUAGUGUAGAGGUGAAAUUCGUAGAUAUUAGGAAGAACACCAGUGGCGAAGGCGGCUCACUGGUCCGGUACUGACGCUGAGGUGCGAAAGCGUGGGGAGCAAACAGG
rnacentral:rRNA from 1 species